UCGACCUCAAAUCAGGUAGGACUACCCGCUGAACUUAAGCAUAUCAAUAAGCGGAGGAAAAGAAACUAACAAGGAUUCCCCUAGUAACUGCGAGUGAAGCGGGAAAAGCUCAAAUUUAAAAUCUGGCGUGCCUUUGGGCCGUCCGAGUUGUAGUCUGGAGAAGUGUUUUCUGUGCUGGACCGUGUACAAGUCCCU
rnacentral:rRNA from 1 species